rnacentral:misc_RNA from 1 species
CGUAGAAUAUUGUUUAGUCUAUGGUUGUAACUAGAAACAAUUUGUCAAAUGUCUUCCGUAAAAAUCUGGUAAAAAUUAAAACGCAAGUCGUGUAUCAAGAUCGAAUUUAUUCCUUUGUUUACUUUAGGCUAAAGCUAAUGUAGUAUUACAUUAACUUUGCUUUACAUUUCAAAUUGAGAUUCGCUGCAAACAUAGAAUAAAAUUCAUAGUGAUAAUUUGAGUAGUCUGAAGAACAUUUUUGAAUAUUUAAGAAGAGGUUGCUUCACAAGUUUUACUUCACCAUUGUAUCUGCUACUACAUGCAUGUGUGAUGGCAAAGAUGCUAGAUUCCGUAUACCAGUAACUGGCCCUAAGGAUAAAGGUGUUUAUUAUUUUUGGGCAGUGAGAGAAAAUAACGAGUGGACAAUCACUAGAGCUGAGUUAGAAUUAAAGUCAAAACCAGAAGCUAGACUCAUUAUUGUAAUUAAUAAGCUGAGAAGUUGAUAUCAAAAAUGUUCAUUGGAAAUGCUAAAGAAAAGUUUAAUUUUCAUAACACCCUACUGUGUAUAGUUAAAGGUUUACAAAACAAAAAUAUCACAUUAGAUCUGCGAAACGAUGCCUACGUAUGUGGCACAAUU